ensembl:lncRNA
AAAACUCCCUGACUUCAGUCAGACUUUCCAGUUGCAAUCAUGGGCGUCACUGACUUCCUACUACUGAGCUGUCUGGGAUUUGCCAUCGCUGCUAAUGAAAUCGUCCAUAAUGGUACAGAACCAGGCAUUAACUGUGAAGAGCCUCACGUUGAACAUGGCUAUGCUGAUGCUCAACCCCCUUACAGACCCAAUGAUAAGGUCAAGUUCGAGUGCUCAACUGGGUAUAAAAUUAAAGGGAAUCCUACCAUGUCAUGUGAGGCAGAUGGUAAUUGGUUAAAUCCUCCCCCAACAUGUAUCUUUGACACUCUUGUACUACUUUAUGUUGGAGUGGCAAUACUUGGUGCUGGUGCCACUGCCUAUGUAUGCGAUCGCUCUGGAGUCGGAGCACGCAUCUGCAGAUCUCUGAAAAAUCGCCGUCAGAAGAGACAAGAGGGGAAUGUCACAAACGCUGAACAGGAAGAACUUUAAACGGAUGUUGUAAGUCUGAGGGAGCAGCCAACUGGCAAUACUCAAGCCUCGCGGGGCACCUUGGACAAGUCACCAGUUCUGAGCACGAAGUUCGAAAAUGUGGGCAGAAGCUUUUAUAUAUAUAUUUUUUUAAACUGUACCAAACACUAUCAGUCUACCUCCUCCCUCCUACCACCGCCUACCAUCUACCUCAAAACUCGCCACACUCUUUACACAUGUCACAUCUGGUAAAAAAAUUUAUACUAUAAAAACUCUAUAGACUCAUAAUGUCCCCUAACGCUGGGUCAUGUGACCAAAAACCUUAUUUGAUCUUCAUGAAAUUUGCAGGACUUAGAGGUCUCAUCGAUACAGCCUGGAAUUAAUUUUGAGGAAUUUUGUGCCCCAACAGGAAGUCAGCCAUCUUGAAUGGCGUGCAUCUAUUUUUAUUUUGCCAACACAGUUUAGAGGACUUUAGGAUGUUUUCAGACUCACCAAAUUUGGCACAAGGUUCAAACUCUGAGUAUUUUAAUUUGAUAUAACAACUGCCCUCAGGUGCGGCACAACACCUCAGUAGCGCCCCCUAAUGGCCUUUCCCCAUUUUGUUCAUACAGAGAAACUCCUACACACACCAAAGUUUGCACAUUCAUCACGAGUCACGAACACGGAUAUGUGCUCGGGUCUGGGCCUUUUCAGGGACCAGAUGGCUCCACGGAACCCCCUGAAAGAUUUCAAACUUGAAGCCCCGCCCCCUACAUGCACCUACACUCACAACAUUCGGUAUGCAUAUAUAUCAUGACCAGACACACAAAAAACCCUGUUGGACCCAUACCUUCAGUCCAACAGGAAGUCUGCCAUUUUGAUUCACAGUUGAGAUUUUACCACAAAUAGUCGCCAUUUGUCUACCUCGUACUUUAAUAAACUUCUACAGAUUUAACACCAAAGACUUCAUAGUCAGUGAGUAUCAUUCUCAGACCUUGAAGAUGAAAAGUUAUUAAAAUCUUUUGCCUCCGUUAUCCCUGAUGUGCGGUUGAUUUCGAUGCGUCGCCAUAAAGCAGGAAGUCCUUAUAACUCUAACAUACACUUUCCAAUCUACACCAAAUUGGUCACACAUUUAGAAGCUGUCGCCCUGAAUACGUCUGUGCAUCAAUACCGUGUCAUAUCUGUUGGGGAAAAAUAUGAUUCUCCCAGGACAUUAUGUCUCCUUACAAUAGGAGGUCAUACAUGUCUUGUACAGACAUUAAAGUCUGGAUAAGGAGAGUGAUGGAAUAUUAUUGAUCCAAAUCUAGCGAACUGAUGAUGAAGACGUGUAAGGUGCGGUUAGUUGAAAUGACACACACAAAGUCACUGUGAUAUCAUUCUCUAUUUUUUUCCUCAGGUUUACAUUACUAUGAUGAUUUUUUUUUUUAUUUUAUGGUUAAAAUGAUUCCAAUCCAAUUUCAUUCAGAUGUUUUGAUAUUCAGUAAUAAGUGCACUAGUAAUUUUUUUCAAAUGUUUACAGCUAUACUUUUAUAUUUGUUGUUUGCCUUAAUAUUAUAUUGUAAGAAAUUAACAAAUUGCGAUGAAUAAGAUCAACUCAGGGAAUUGCAGCAGAAGACAACAUCAUGCCAUCUUGUGAUCGUGCUAGUAACCUCUCCAAGGUAGCGGCCCCCUACCUAAAUCUAAGAAACCUAGAUAAUUACAAUGUGUUGAUCUAUUGUAUUAAUCUGUUUUUGCCUAAGAAUCAAAUAUAUGCAGUGUUUUAUAUGAUCCUUUUAAAUGCUGUCUAAUUUAUUUUUUAUUUUUUUUAAAUAUAGCACAAUUUCUGUAUGCUGAACUGUGUGAAGAUGUAAAAAUGUAAUUGAUUUUGUAUUUGAUUUGAAUGUAAGUGAAUGCCGGUAUUCCUGCCACCCCGUAAGGAGGCCUUCGAUCUAUGUUUACAGACUAAGUGUCUCUGACCUAUUUUACCUCAUAGUCUUCUGGUCGGGGGGAAUUCUGCAUCACCCCCGUUGCCAUGUUGUUAAACAGAUAACCCAUCCAUGGAAGCACUGCCUCCUGAAGCUGUAAGAUAUAAUUGGGAACAUAUAAUUGGACAUUGGGGAAGACUCAUUAAGAUUAUCAUGGCAACACACUGUGAAGACAGACUUGCUGUUAUUUUGCUCCUCCAUGAUCAUGCUUUAUAAAUUAUCUCAAUGUCUCUGAGUCUUCUUCAUCUCUCCUGAAUGGUGAAAUGAGCCGAAAUUCAAUUUGAAACAAACAAUUUGAAUUGAAAACAAAUGAGCUGAUAUCAUUUGCAGUAGGGGAAAAAUGAUUAUAUAUUUUAAACAAUGUAUUACAUCUAGAAAUGGUUCUGUAUGUUUAGAUGAAGGGAGUUUACAGAGACAGAGAAGAACAGACAGUUGGUUGUUUUAUUCAAACAUGAAAGAUGAGCCAUCUGAAAUGCGGCUAUGCACAAGUCAGCUUGUAUAAUACAGCAAUGUAUGAUGUAUAGUACAGCAAUAAUUGAAUCAAUUCUUUGAUAUGGAGACAAAGAAAAAUGUGUUAACUUUAAGGCCUAUAAAUGCUAGAAAUUAAACUUGUGGAUUUGAUAUUGGAGUUUUGUUUUUCCAGCUCAAAGUCACACUCACCCCAAAUAUUUUAGACAUGCUAUGAUAAAAUAAAAACUUUUAGAAAGCUUAUUGAAUUAAAUACAAACUGAGAACUGAUAAAAAAAAUCCAUCCCCUAACAUUUCCUGUUAUUACAGUGCCACCUGGUGGACUUCACCCCAUUUGUCUAAAUGAUGCUUUGAUCAAGUUGGCAGAUGGACAUCUAGUGGUGGUGGUGUUACAGUACAAUACCAGAGAAAUUACUUCAGUCACUUCAAUGGUAUUUUGGGUACAGCCAUAGGAUUCUGUAGGGUACCAUGAAGUUAAACAAACAAAUCCACGACAUGAACUGGGAGGUGAGAAUGGAUUUUUUUGUCAAAGGAUACUUCAGAUCAGACUUCAGGUCUUUUCAAAUCAGUUUGGGACUUGAUUAGUUCUGGAUUAUGGCAGACAAGCUGUAGAGAACCAUCUUGAGGUUUUUCAGUUACUUCAAAUGGAUAGGAGAAUUCUGCAAUGCUGUUUUCUCACAAAGCCACAGAGAUAUGUUGACUACAAAAGUCAACCUAACUUUCCAUCGGUAUGGGAGUGAGGAAAAUGGUGAGUGAAUUUUAAUUGUUGGGUGAACUUUUCAUUUAAAAUAGCUCCACAAAAUAGACAAGAGAGCCAUUUUGGUAUUUACUGCUCCGCUUGGGAUCUUUUGCGUUCUUAGUGAUAUUUCUGUGCAUUGUAAUCAAAUGUACAGAAGCAAGAAAGAGGUGAGUCGAGAGGAAGAGGGGGGCUCGCUUAGGGACGGAUGCUCCAUUUGGCUAAGUGACCUGCAUUUUCCAGUGGUCGUUCUUUGGAAGUCAUAUCAGCUCCUGUGUUAUUGGUUUGGUCGCUGUAUUUUUUAUACCAAGGUUCUCUGAUAAGGUGGUGAUUCUGAGUCUGGG